AUUGAACGCUGGCGGCAGGCCUAACACAUGCAAGUCGAGCGGUUGAAGGUAGCUUGCUCCUCGAUUCAGCGGCGGACGGGUGAGUAAUGCCUACGUAUCUGCCCGGUCGUGGGGGAUAACGUCCGGAAACGGGCGCUAAUACCACAUACCUCCUGAGGGAGAAAGAGGGGGUUCUUCGGACCUCACGCUAUUUGCUGACCCUAGGUCGGAUUCCCCAGUUGGUUUGGUAAAGGCCUAGCAAGCCGACCAUCCGUAACUGGUAUGAGAGGAUGAUCAAACACAUUGGAAUGGAGACAGGGACAAGACUCCUACGGGAGGCAGCAGUGGGGAAUAUUGGAGAAGGGGGGAAGGCCUAACAAACACAGGCGACGUAUGGGAGGAAGGUCUUGGGAUUUUAAAGCACUUUGAGUUGGGAGGAAGAGCAGUAAGGUAAUAACGUGCUGAUGUGACGUUACCAACAGAAUAAGCACCGGCUAACUUCGUG
rnacentral:rRNA from 1 species